AUGCAAGGUUAAGCAGUAAAUGUGGAGCCGUAGCGAAAGCGAGUCUGAAUAGGGCGUUUAGUAUUUGGUCGUAGACCCGAAACCAGGUGAUCUACCCUUGGUCAGGUUGAAGUUCAGGUAACACUGAAUGGAGGACCGAACCGACUUACGUUGAAAAGUGAGCGGAUGAACUGAGGGUAGCGGAGAAAUUCCAAUCGAACCUGGAGAUAGCUGGUUCUCUCCGAAAUAGCUUUAGGGCUAGCCUCAAGUGAUGAUUAUUGGAGGUAGAGCACUGUUUGGACGAGGGGCCCCUCUCGGGUUACCGAAUUCAGACAAACUCCGAAUGCCAAUUAAUUUAACUUGGGAGUCAGAACAUGGGUGAUAAGGUCCGUGUUCGAAAGGGAAACAGCCCAGACCACCAGCUAAGGUCCCAAAAUAUAUGUUAAGUGGAAAAGGAUGUGGCGUUGCCCAGACAACUAGGAUGUUGGCUUAGAAGCAGCCAUCAUUUAAAGAGUGCGUAAUAGCUCACUAGUCGAGUGACACUGCGCCGAAAAUGUACCGGGGCUAAACAUAUUACCGAAGCUGUGGAUUGUCCUUUGGACAAUGGUAGGAGAGCGUUCUAAGGGCGUUGAAGCAUGAUCGUAAGGACAUGUGGAGCGCUUAGAAGUGAGAAUGCCGGUGUGAGUAGCGAAAGACGGGUGAGAAUCCCGUCCACCGAUUGACUAAGGUUUCCAGAGGAAGGCUCGUCCGCUCUGGGUUAGUCGGGUCCUAAGCUGAGGCCGACAGGCGUAGGCGAUGGAUAACAGGUUGAUAUUCCUGUACCACCUAUAAUCGUUUUAAUCGAUGGGGGGACGCAGUAGAAUAGGCGAAGCGUGCGAUUGGAUUGCACGUCUAAGCAGUAAGGCUGAGUAUUAGGCAAAUCCGGUACUCGUUAAGGCUGAGCUGUGAUGGGGAGAAGACAUUGUGUCUUCGAGUCGUUGAUUUCACACUGCCGAGAAAAGCCUCUAGAUAGAAAAUAGGUGCCCGUACCGCAAACCGACACAGGUAGUCAAGAUGAGAAUUCUAAGGUGAGCGAGCGAACUCUCGUUAAGGAACUCGGCAAAAUGACCCCGUAACUUCGGGAGAAGGGGUGCUCUUUAGGGUUAACGCCCAGAAGAGCCGCAGUGAAUAGGCCCAAGCGACUGUUUAUCAAAAACACAGGUCUCUGCUAAACCGUAAGGUGAUGUAUAGGGGCUGACGCCUGCCCGGUGCUGGAAGGUUAAGAGGAGUGGUUAGCUUCUGCGAAGCUACGAAUCGAAGCCCCAGUAAACGGCGGCCGUAACUAUAACGGUCCUAAGGUAGCGAAAUUCCUUGUCGGGUAAGUUCCGACCCGCACGAAAGGCGUAACGAUUUGGGCACUGUCUCAACGAGAGACUCGGUGAAAUCAUAGUACCUGUGAAGAUGCAGGUUACCCGCGACAGGACGGAAAGACCCCGUGGAGCUUUACUGUAGCCUGAUAUUGAAAUUCGGCACAGCUUGUACAGGAUAGGUAGGAGCCUUUGAAACGUGAGCGCUAGCUUACGUGGAGGCGCUGGUGGGAUACUACCCUAGCUGUGUUGGCUUUCUAACCCGCACCACUUAUCGUGGUGGGAGACAGUGUCAGGCGGGCAGUUUGACUGGGGCGGUCGCCUCCUAAAAGGUAACGGAGGCGCUCAAAGGUUCCCUCAGAAUGGUUGGAAAUCAUUCAUAGAGUGUAAAGGCAUAAGGGAGCUUGACUGCGAGACCUACAAGUCGAGCAGGGUCGAAAGACGGACUUAGUGAUCCGGUGGUUCCGCAUGGAAGGGCCAUCGCUCAACGGAUAAAAGCUACCCCGGGGAUAACAGGCUUAUCUCCCCCAAGAGUUCACAUCGACGGGGAGGUUUGGCACCUCGAUGUCGGCUCAUCGCAUCCUGGGGCUGUAGUCGGUCCCAAGGGUUGGGCUGUUCGCCCAUUAAAGCGGUACGCGAGCUGGGUUCAGAACGUCGUGAGACAGUUCGGUCCCUAUCCGUCGUGGGCGUAGGAAAUUUGAGAGGAGCUGUCCUUAGUACGAGAGGACCGGGAUGGACAUACCUCUGGUGUACCAGUUGUCGUGCCAACGGCAUAGCUGGGUAGCUAUGUGUGGACGGGAUAAGUGCUGAAAGCAUCUAAGCAUGAAGCCCCCCUCAAGAUGAGAUUUCCCAACUUCGGUUAUAAGAUCCCUCAAAGAUGAUGAGGUUAAUAGGUUCGAGGUGGAAGCAUGGUGACAUGUGGAGCUGACGAAUACUAAUCGAUCGAAGACUUAAUCAA
rnacentral:rRNA from 1 species